AACGUAGGUGGCAAGCGUUAUCCGGAUUUACUGGGCGUAAAGCGUGUGCAGACGGGGCAUCAAGUGGUGUAUGAAAUCGCCCGGCUCAACCGGGCGGGGUUAUGCCAGACUGGUGUGCUAGAGACAGAGAGAGGGACGUGGAAUUCCGGGUGGUAGUGGUGAAAUGCGUAGAGAUCCGGAGGAACCCUGAGGCGAAGGCGGCGUCCUGGCUCUGGUCUGACGUUCAGACACGACAGCAUGGGAGCGAACGGGAG
rnacentral:rRNA from 1 species